rnacentral:rRNA from 1 species
GACGAACGCUGGCGGCGUGCUUAACACAUGCAAGUCGAACGGAAAGGCCCUGCUUUUGUGGGGUGCUCGAGUGGCGAACGGGUGAGUAACACGUGAGUACCUGCCCUUGACUUUGGGAUAACUUCAGGAAACUGGGGCUAAUACCGGAUAGGAGCUCCUGCUGCAUGGUGGGGGUUGGAAAGUUUCGGCGGUUGGGGAUGGACUCGCGGCUUAUCAGCUUGUUGGUGGGGUAGUGGCUUACCAAGGCUUUGACGGGUAGCCGGCCUGAGAGGGUGACCGGCCACAUUGGGACUGAGAUACGGCCCAGACUCCUACGGGAGGCAGCAGUGGGGAAUAUUGCACAAUGGGCGGAAGCCUGAUGCAGCAACGCCGCGUGCGGGAUGACGGCCUUCGGGUUGUAAACCGCUUUCGCCUGUGACGAAGCGUGAGUGACGGUAAUGGGUAAAGAAGCACCGGCUAACCACGUG